rnacentral:misc_RNA from 1 species
GAUGAAGAACGCAGCGAAAUGCGAUACUUGGUGUGAAUUGCAGAAUCCCGUGAACCAUCGAGUCUUUGAACGCAAGUUGCGCCUCAAGCCAUUAGGUUGAGGGCACGUCUGCCUGGGCGUCACAUAUCGUUGCCUGAUGCCAGUUUCCUAGUGAUGGGUGACUGUGCAGGGCGAAUGAUGGCUUCCCGUGAGCAUUGUUUCCUCAUGGUUGGUUGAAAAUUGAGUCCUUGGUAGGGAGCGCCGUGAUAGAUGGUGGUUGAGUGACGAACGAGACCCAAUCAUGUGAGACCCCUACCGAAUUUGGCCUUCAUGACCCACAUGCGUCUUUGGAACGCUCAUGACGAGACCUCAGGUCAGGCGGGGCUACCCGCUGAGUUUAAGCAUAUCAUAAGCGGAGGA